rnacentral:misc_RNA from 1 species
GAAAUGCGAUAAGUAAUGUGAAUUGCAGAAUUCAGUCAAUCAUCGAAUCUUUGAACGCACAUUGCGCCCGCCAGUAUUCUGGCGGGCAUGCCUGUUCGAGCGUCAUUUCAACCAUCAAGCCCCGCGCUUGUGUUGGGGACCUGCGGCUGCCGCAGGCCCUGAAAACCAGUGGCGGGCUCGCUGUCACACCGGGCGUAGUAGAUUUUAUCUCGCUCAGGGCGUGCUGCGGGUUCCGGCCGUUAAAAAGCCUUUUUUACCCAAGGUUGACCUCGGAUCAGGUAGGAAGACCCGCUGAACUUAAGC